AACGAACGCUGGCGGCAGGCUUAACACAUGCGAGUCGAGCGCCCCGCAAGGGGAGCGGCAGACGGGUGAGUAACGCGUGGGAAUCUACCGAGCCCUAAGGAAUAGCUCCGGGAAACUGGAAUUAAUACCUUAUACGCCCUUCGGGGGAAAGAUUUAUCGGGGUUUGAUGAGCCCGCGUUGGAUUAGCUAGUUGGUGAGGUAAAGGCCUACCAAGGCGACGAUCCAUAGCUGGUCUGAGAGGAUGAUCAGCCACAUUGGGACUGAGACAUGGCCCAAACUCCUACGGGAGGCGGCAGUGGGGAAUAUUGGACAAGGGGCGCAAGCCUGAUCCAGCCAUGCCGCGUGAGUGAUGAAGGCCCUAGGGUUGUAAAGCUCUUUCACCGGUGAAGAUAAUGACGGUAACCGGAGAAGAAGCCCCGGCUAACUUCGUGCCAGCCGCCGCCGUAAGAC
rnacentral:rRNA from 1 species